AAAGGUGGCUUCGGCUACCACUUACAGAUGGACCCGCGGCGCAUUAGCUAGUUGGUGAGGUAACGGCUCACCAAGGCGACGAUGCGUAGCCGACCUGAGAGGGUGAUCGGCCACACUGGGACUGAGACACGGCCCAGACUCCUACGGGAGGCAGCAGUAGGGAAUCUUCCGCAAUGGACGAAAGUCUGACGGAGCAACGCCGCGU
rnacentral:rRNA from 1 species